rnacentral:tRNA from 1 species
ACCUCGAUAGCUCAGCGGCAGAGCGGCGGACUCGAAAUCCGCGCGCCGCGUGUUAGAUCCCAGGUCGAGCAG